CCUACGGGAGGCAGCAGUGGGGAAUUUUGGACAAUGGGGGCAACCCUGAUCCAGCCAUUCCGCGUGAGUGAAGAAGGCCUUCGGGUUGUAAAGCUCUUUCGCAAGGGAAGAAAACUUAUGAUCGAAUAAAUCAUGAGGUUGACGGUACCUUGAUAAGAAGCACCGGCUAACUACGUGCCAGCAGCCGCGGUAAUACGUAGGGUGCGAGCGUUAAUCGGAAUUACUGGGCGUAAAGCGUGCGCAGGCGGUUUUGUAAGUCGGAUGUGAAAUCCCCGGGCUCAACCUGGGAACUGCGUUCGAAACUGCAAGGCUAGAGUGUGUCAGAGGGGGGUAGAAUUCCACGUGUAGCAGUGAAAUGCGUAGAGAUGUGGAGGAAUACCAAUGGCGAAGGCAGCCCCCUGGGAUAACACUGACGCUCAUGCACGAAAGCGUGGGGAGCAAACAGGAUUAGAUACCCUGGUAGUCCACGCCCUAAACGAUGUCAACUAGUUGUUGGUAGAGUAAAAUCUAUGAUAACGUAGCUAACGCGUGAAGUUGACCGCCUGGGGAGUACGGUCGCAAGAUUUAAAACCNAAAGGAAUUGACGGNUGAGACGNGCGAGACGACGACGAGGAGAGG
rnacentral:rRNA from 1 species